rnacentral:rRNA from 1 species
AUCCGAAGAUUUCCGAAUGAGGAAACUCACUUAGAGUAAUGUCUAAGUAUCAUUAAGUGAAUACAUAGCUUAAUGAGGGGAACUCAGGGAACUGAAACAUCUAAGUACCUGAAGGAAGAGAAAGAAAGUCGAUUCCGUAAGUAGCGGCGAGCGAACGCGGAUUAGCCCAAACCAAUAAAGUUUUCUUUAUUGGGGUUGCGGACAUAUCAUAACGAAGAGGUAUC